rnacentral:rRNA from 1 species
UACGAAGGGGGCUAGCGUUGCUCGGAAUCACUGGGCGUAAAGCGCGCGUAGGCGGUCUUUGCAAGUCGGGUGUGAAAUCCCCAGGCCUUAACCUGGGAACUGGCAUUUCGGAGACUGCAUUGCUAGAGUAUGGGAGAGGGAAGUGGAAUUUCCGGUGUAGCGGUGAAAUGCGUAGAUAUCGGAAGGAACAUCAGUGGCGGAAAGCGACUUCCUGGACCCAAUACUGACGCUCAUGUGCGAAAGCGUGGGGAGCAAACAGG